rnacentral:rRNA from 1 species
AUUGAACGCUGGCGGCAGGCCUAACACAUGCAAGUCGAACGAGUGGCGGACGGGUGAGUAAUGUCUGUGAAACUGCCUGAUGGAGGGGGAUAACUACUGGAAACGGUAGCUAAUACCGCAUACCAUCAGAUGUGCCCAGAUGGGAUGAGCUAGUUGGUGGGGUAACGGCUCACCAAGUCGACGAUUCCUAGCUGGUCUGAGAGGGUGCCGAGCCAAACUGGAACGUGGACCCGGUCCAGACUCUCAGGGUAGGCAGCAGUGGGGAAUAUUGCACAAUGGGCGCAAGCCUGAUGCAGCCAUGCCGGGUGUAUGAAGAAGGCAUUCGGGUUGUAAAGUACUUUCAGCGGGGAGGCGUUACCCGCAGAAGAAGCACCGGCUAACUCCGUGCCAGCCGCCGCGGUAAUAC